ACUCACACACGCGACUCAGACACCGAACGCACCCACAGUCCGGUUCACCCGACCGAGCCACCCGCACCAGCCAACGCCAGAGCGGGCACGCCAAGCCUCGAGCCUCGACACGCCCAGCCUCACACGACCCUGACAAGGCGGCGUUCCACGAACACGCCUCCACCCUCCUGCUUCCGCCGAAGCGCGGCAGCCACCCCGUGAGGAACUCCUCCCCGCCUCCGUUCGGCAGGCAUUGGAUUUGGGGUGAAGUGGAGAUCCGCCGCUUCUUUCGUUGCCAAGGCACCAAGCAUCAUGCCGGAAAGAGGUCGCCUGCCGCGGCGUUUCAUUGACGAUCGCAGGGGGUAUCCUGAAGUCCGUGUAGUUGAGGAUCGUAGGGCCUAUCCUGACAUCCGUGUGGUUGAGGAUCGUAGGGGCUAUCCUGGCAUUCAUGUGGCUGAAGAACGUAGGGGUUAUCAUGACAUCCAUGAAGGUCCACGCAUGAGGGGAGCUCCUCGCCCUCACCCAGCUAUUCUGGAUGAAGAGCUUGAAUUACAGCAGGUUGAACUCUGCAGGCUGUUGGCAGACAACCGUGCUCUGGUUGAGGAACGCACAGCCUUACACAGAGAGGUACAAGGUGGAAAAGAUGAGGUCCGCUACCUGAACAUGAUCAUUGCAGACAUUAAAACCGAGAAGGAAGAUUAUAUCAGUAAGCUUGUUGACAAGAGGAGGAAGCUUGAAUCUGAACUUAGAGCACAUGAGCACUUACGUGAUGAGGUUGUGCAUCUUCGUGGUGAAAUUGAUAAGCUCGCUGCUGCUAGGAAAGAACUCUCUGCAGAGGCUGCAUCUCUCAUGCAAGAGCUGACCAGGGAAAAAUCUGCCAAACAGCAGUUACCUAUGCUGAAAGCAGAGCUUGAUGGUCUGCAACAGGAACUUACUCAUGUGAGGACUGCAUGUGGAUUAGAGCAGAAGGGGAAUUUUGAGUUGGUGGAACAAAGGAAGGCGAUGGAGAAGAAUAUGAUUUCUAUGGCACAAGAGAUUAAACAAAUGCGAGCUGAAGUAGCUAACUUUGAAGCGAGACCAUGGGGCACAGGUGGAGCGUAUGAGAUGCAGAUGGGUAGCCCUGAAGUGACCUUCGCUACUCCAUAUGGAGAUAAUUACAAUAUCCAAGCGGGGGCUUCUGAGAAAGGUCCUUUGCAUCCUCCUGAAUCUAGUUCAUGGGGCUCAUAUGACAAGAAUCGUCUUCAGUACCGCUAAGAUCACAACUGUUAUAUAUUCCUGGGAGAAAGAGUCACCUUCUAGGUGUUAAUGGUCAUGCCACAUGGUUUACGAUACCUAUGUUUUAUACUUGCUUGCGUUACCAUUAAGAGUUGUCUUGUUUGAAUGCUUCUAAUCAUUUUAAUGUCUAUGGGUGAAAUCCUUGGUUAUCCUUACCACCAGCAGGACAUAUAUUUGAUUUGUGAGAAGAAAGGAACGGCUACUACAAGAACACAGUUAAAGUGGGAUAUAUUUGGUGCCGUGCUAAGCCAAAGGUUCUCUCUCAGAUCAUUUUCAUGAACCAGACCUCAGAUCAAGAUAUCCUGACAUGUGUACAAGAGUCAAGAACUUGAGCAUGAAAUGUGUACAAGAACUUUUUCAAACUCAAAACAUCAUAUCAAGAUAUCCAGACACGCGCACAAGCAUUCAAGCAUGAAAUGUUUUACCAAUUAGGAAUAUGAGCAAAAUCCUUGAGAAAUCCGAUAAAGGCACAACAUCGAUUGUUGCAACACUUGACAUGUGACACCAUGGGUGACUUUGUUCAUAAGCAGCCAUUAUUUUGUUGCAGUUCUCUUUGGAGCUAGGGAAAAUGUUUUCUGUGCAUCAAAGCUGGGGAAACUUUGGUUUGUUUGGAAGCCUUUGCCUCAUGUCAUAUGAUUUCUGGUCAGUAUCUGGAUGAACUUACCAGUUUGUACAGCAAUAGAGCGUGAGGUCGGUGGAGCCAUCAGAGCUUCAGCAGUUGGGAGUAUAGUAAGUUAUAUCUACAUAAACUUCAGGCAGUGAAGACAUGAUGCAAGAACCUUUAAAGAGUUGAACAGAAAAUCCAUUUCCUGUAGAUGUGAUUGAGGCCAGAAUGUGGCUCUGGUGCUGAUGCUGUUGAUGCACACUGUCAUUUUGCUCACUAACUAUGGUGAUGAUGGCACUCAUAGCAAAACAAAGUUACAGACCACAGGACCUGCCCACGAACGAUGUUUCCAACAAGCUGAUUAUGUAGUAUGUAUACCAUGUUUAUGGUGCUUGAUUUUGCUGUGAUACCUUCUCUGACUCUUUGCUGGAAGUGAAGAUUGUUCAAAUCCCCAUACUCCGCUAAAAACUGUGAUCAUCAUGUGCUGAUGUGCUCCAUGCAGUAUUCAUCCAUGCCUCUGUAGUCUUGCAGCAUUGGACUUUGGUAUAUGCCAGCCAUGUCUCUGCAGAUUCACUGCCCUGCAUUGCGUUUUCUGAAGCCAACGAAACAAUCGUGUGGUCUGUGGUGUAUGGACCAUUGCUGCAAGAAGCUUCUGAUAUCGUAGGCUGAGAAUGUUGGCUGCACGGAUUUGAGCUGUACAAAAUGCUGUUCAGCUGUGCUCAGUCGCAUGUGUCGACAUUUCAGUGA